UUACUAUAUUGAGAUACCUAAUUGCUAGAUUGCUAGAGGAUCUAUCAUUUAUGCAUGGGAUUGUUCGUUGAGAAGAUUUUUUUGUUGCAUGUUGCAUGCAUUAGUUGAAACAAAUGAAUUUGCAGAAAACAACAAUGGGUUUGUUCCGAGUAAGAUGUGAUUUUGAUAUUUCGAGCUAUAGAAUAUGUUUCUUGUUAAAACCAGUCAACAAAUAGAUGUCUCGAAUGUGAUCGUCAACCAUAAGUAUAUCUGAUCUGUUUAGAACUUUAUUUAGUAAGAAGUAUUAGCAAUUUUUCUGCACUUUACAAGUCUCUUGACCUUUUUGAAUAUGCCUGCUAUGUCUGUCUGAUGUUCUAAUUUUUGAGUUAUUCCAACAAAGCUACCAUCAUGGAGUUCAAUGAUUCCAGAGUUUGAUGCUUCCUGCACAUGUUUUCCUAGAUAACAGUACAGACUGGAACAAGAGAUGGGAGCAUGACAGAAUUUGUUCUACGAAAAGAAAAAAAUUAUUUCUUGAACUCAUAGAGGUUUUUUAUCCUACUGACUCCCUAAGAUUUAUCGACGGCCUGUGCUAGUGAUGCUGCUGGUGCUUGUUAUAUGGGGAAUAAUCUGGAGAAUCAACCAGCAAAGAUGCUAGCUUUGUGAGGAAAUAAUCUUCAGAACAGAUGCCAUUUAGCCUCAUCAACCAAAGCUUUUCAUUUUCAGUUGAUGAGAUAUCAUCUACAACCUACAAAACAAAAGCUUGGGAAAGAUGCAUCAAAUUACAUAGAAAUCCAUCUGGUCCAUAUGGGUUUAGCAUGUCUCUCCCUCCUAUGACUUUGGUCUUGUUGCUCUUUGAUGCCUCACAGUAUCUCAAACAAUCUGGUAAAGAAGCAUUAUGAUGUUGCAUCAACUUGGGGAAAGAUAGGCUGUGGAAGAAUCAAAGGUUCAGUGUAUUAAGUUUGGUCUCGAUGCACUUUGUUAUGUGACACAUCUGACGGAAUCUAGGAAAGAAACAUCAUGUUGAGUCUCGUCGUCCUGUGAAAGGUUCAUUGCCGG